rnacentral:rRNA from 1 species
UACGGAGGGUGCAAGCGUUGUUCGGAAUUACUGGGCGUAAAGCGCGCGUAGGCGGUUUGUUAAGUCAGAUGUGAAAGCCCAUGGCUCAACCAUGGACGUGCAUUUGAAACUGGCGGACUUGAGUAUUGGAGGGGGUGGUGGAAUUCCCGGUGUAGAGGUGAAAUUCGUAGAUAUCGGGAGGAAUACCGGUGGCGAAGGCGACCACCUGGCCAAAUACUGACGCUAAUGUGCGAAAGCGUGGGGAGCAAACAGG